rnacentral:lncRNA from 1 species
GACUUCAGGAGUGCUCCUUGACAAUGGAAACUUCAUUUUAAGGAAGACAUCGGAUGUGUCUAGUGUUGCUUGGCAGAGUUUCGAUCAUCCCACUGAUACGUGGUUGCCAGGUGCCAAGUUUGUAUAUUAUUCACAUACCUCUGAACGGACAGUUUUGGUGGCUUGGACAGAUUUCGAUGAUCCAGCUCCUGGGAUAUUCUCUGCAAUGCCGGCAGCGGAAGGAAAAUUUCUGUUAUCGCUAUUUAACAGGUCAGAAGUCUACUGGAAUUGUAGUGACUGGACUGAGGCUGAUUAUGGGCUUCAGCCUUCACAGACAGUGGAAAACACGAUCAACUUCACCUUUGUUUCGAAUGAGAAUGAGACCUAUUCCAAAUAUUCCUCAGUUGCUCCUUAUAAUCUUUCUAGGAUAGUGCUCGGACCGACAGGGCUGUUCCAGCAUUUAGUAUGGGCAAAGCACAUCCAGGAAUGGAAAGUGUUUUCGAUACUACCAACACAAACGUGUGAGAUUUAUCCCUUUUGUGGUGCUUCUUCUAACUGCAAUCAGAGUGAUGCACCGGUUUGUGAUUGCGCUCUUGGACACUCAGAUCAUCUGAAGCUGGAAGAUCAUAUGGGCCGAUGCAAGAGGAUAAAUGCAUCGAAAUGUAGUGGUGACAGGAAAGAUAAUUUUUUCCUCAUGCCUCAUACACUACUGCCGAAAAAUUCUGAUUCGUUCACGGUAGAAAACAUUGAUGCAUGCAGGUUAUUGUGCUUGAGCAACUGUUCGUGCAGUGCAUACGCUUACAUUGCUAACUGUCAGAUAUGGAUGGAUGAGAAAUUUAUGGUUCAACAUUCCGCCAGUGUUGAAGUUUUUAAAGAUUUCUAUGUCCGGAUUGCGGCGUUGGACUGGAAGGAGGAGAGUAAGAAAAAGGGAAAACCCAGUUUGGUAGCAGCAGUUGUUGUGUCCUUAGCUUUUCUCGUGCUCCUUGGUGUGUUGCUGGCGACUAUUAGGACAAGACGGUUUGCUCGUGCAGUGGACGAUCAUUUGCUGCAUUUUGAAUAUCGAGUUCUGAAGAAGGCAACAAAGAACUUCUCUGAGAAAAUUGGGGAAGGCGGGUUUAGUUCUGUUUUCUGGGGAGCACUGCCAGACUCAACUCCUGUAGCAGUGAAGAAACUUGCAAACCAAAACCAAAGUAACAAACAGUUCCUUGCGGAAAUUAGAACUAUUGGAACGAUACAGCACGUCAAUGUGGUUCGACUGCGCGGCUUUUCUGCAGAAGAGUCGAAGAGGUUCCUAGUUUAUGACUACCUUACAAAUGGUUCGCUCGCAGCUCAUUUGUUUCAGAAAGGUUCCAACACCCUCGAUUGGAAAACCAGAUACAACAUUGCCAUUGGGAUUGCUAAAGGAUUGGAGUACCUCCAUGAGAGGUGUCGAGAUCGCAUCAUACACUGCGAUAUCAAGCCGGAGAAUAUACUUUUGGAUUCAGAACUGGCACCACAGAUUGCUGAUUUCGGCCUCGCGAAGCUUGUGGGACGGGAUGCCAGCCAGGUAAUUACCACCAUGAGGGGAACCAGAGGGUACCUCGCACCAGAAUGGAUUUCCGGAGGAGCCAUUACUUCGAAAGUGGACGUUUUCAGCUAUGGAAAGAUGCUCUUUGAGAUCAUAUCGGGAAAGAGAAACACUGAGGAGCUGAAUAGUGAUAUGCGUGAUUAUCUACCGCUUCAGGUAGCUAAUUCAAUAGCCAAAGGAGAAGAGGUCUUGCCACUUGUGGACCGCAGAUUGAAAGGACUCGUGGAGAUGGAAGAAUUGUGCAGAGCAUGCAAAGUGGCUUGUUGGUGCAUUCAAGACAGCGAGGAAGAUAGACCGACUAUGUCUCAGGUAGUUCAGAUUUUGGAGGGGGUUAUGGCAGUAGAAAAGCCUCCAAUCCCAAGAAUUUUGUUGCAACUAGUAGGAAGUGAUGAGAUUGAGGCAUAAAACGAAGCACUAUGUCCUUUCUUUGAUAAUUCAUGGGCAUGGUGUAGCCAAUCCAUAUUCCUUUGAGUUUCUACUGUUACAAGCUGUGUACCUCCUUGGCCAAUAUAUUACGGUGACCUUUGUGGCAACUCGAAAUAUAAAGACUAAACAGUUAUUGUCGCUGAUGGACUCACUGGUCUAGGAUCUGCAUCGUGCUUACCAGAAUUGCAUCUCCAAACCAUUUAAUACUAAUAUUUCUCCAUCCUCUUGCAGCAGAAAAUCCAGUGAAGGAGUCGGUCAUCUAUUCAGCUUAUGUGUAUGCUCCAAACGAAAUUAGAUGAACUGUUUGAACAAAACAAUGCAAAAUCGUUGCCCUCUUGUUUAAACAUUAUUUAUAUGAGCCAUCCCUCCCAUUAGAAACGGUUGACACUUGAAAGUUGGUAGAGGCUCCGGCCAUAGAGGCAAGAGUCAUCCAAAAAGCGGUAUUCUUUAAUAAAAGGCGAAAAAAAUAGUUCACUCGGUGCUCACUACGUAGCUGCGUUAUCAAACAACUAUUAAAUAACCAAGUCCAUAAGAUUAUCUCCAUUUCUUGCUUCAACCGUUGUGGGACUCCAAACUCACCUUUGUGGAAAACCACUUCUUAUACGUAGGUUGGCUACAUUGUACUGCAAAGGCUUUGGCCUCUGUUCCUGGUCCAGAUGCUUGUGUGAGUCUGCUAGAGAAACACAGCCAUUUGGGCUGCCCUGGUAUUAAGGAUCGCUGUCCAUGUUUGAAACAUUUAGAGCACAAGACUUUCAGCGUCAUAUUCUCUUUAUAAUAUUCCAUUUUAAUACAUGUAACUAGAUACAAAAAAAAAUUCAACUAUAGAAUCGCAAGAUACUCAACUACAGCCCCUUGACUUAAUUAACUGCUCUAACUAAUUGAAUGCAUCGUAAUAUAGCCAGAUUCAAGUAAUUUACCGAUGAAAUUUGAUUAGCCUAUGAGCAGCCUGACCUGAAAAAUUUCAAAUGGUUGCUAGUAAAAGAACCGACCGUAAAGUAUUGGGUGAAUACAAGAAAGUCUCACUAGCCGACAUGGAAUAGUUUCAUUUUACAUGCGAGAAGCACUCUUUAUUUGCCCUCCAGCGUCGCACUUAAAUACUGUAACUAUCAUCCGCUCAUUCUAAGCCCUCCUCCCAAAGACGGUACAGAUGAGUACUACCGUGAAGUCUGCGAGACAGAGAGGCAUCCUGACUUGUGGAUCUACUAUUGUGCUCCUUGUGAAUAUGAAAAUCACGUUAGUUGCAUAUGUCCUGACGUCCCGCCCUGUCUUCCUGAAGCAUUGUCUCCUGGGAAUGUGGAGUUCUUGAAGGACGUCCCUUUGUCCUGCAAAGGUCUCGUCUUUGAUCACAUAUUUCCUUACAUGAUUUGCUUGGAGGAUGAAAGUGGCAGAAAGUCGACCCUCAGCUGAGGGAAAUUUCAGAUUCCAAACUAGCUUGGUUACCAGAAGAUGGCGACAUCUAGUCCGCCACCAAAUUCAAGUGAAACUUACCUAAAGAAGGUUACAAUGAGCACGAGGCCAACAUCUUACCAUCAGAUCUUCCAGUUUUUAUUUUUAUUUUUUAUUUUCGUCUGUUAAGUUUUUCAUCCUGCUUCAUCUCUUAGAUCUUUAUGUUUGCGAAAAUAAUGUUAUGAAUGUACCAUCUCACUCUUGUCCUUUCCUUGGCAUGAUAUCAACUCGUCUUAUAGGUCAUUUGGUUUUAUGAAUUUUCCAUCUAAUCAUCUUGAAGAAUUAACAUCUCGAUGCAGACUUUUCACCAAAUUACUUGAAUAUUUAGCAAAGUAUUCAUCUUUACACCAAAGUGAACAAAAAGAAUCGCAUGGUGUUGCUACCUGUAGCAUUCAUCCGUCGGAUAUUUGUAUGCACAAAGCAGUAUGCGUUAUUCAUCACUGUCAAACCCCAUAUCUUCCGUACUUUGGGAUCCCAUUGUGAUUGUCAUGACAAUAUACUUCCCAUAAAUCUUGUCAGGCGAAGCUUGAGAACCAUGUCACACAUCAAAUCUAUGUACUUAUGUUUGUAUAUCAUGGAGUCACAAUCUUAAAAUCUUUUGAGGAAACCGUCCAUUGUUAAACACCAACGAAAUUAGGUUCUCUCUACAGAAGGCAAGUUAAGACCCUGUCCCAACGAACGGAUGGAUCACUCUGAUGAUGUUGUCUGAUGUGAAGUGUAUGGAUUGUGCUCAAAUGGUGAACUCAUAUUUGUAACCUAUUUGUAACUUAGAAAAGAAACUGGGUGAACUCGUCUUUCGCAAUGGAGUUAAAAGAGGCUCAUUGCAUCCAUUAUUGCUUAUUUGAUAAGAGUACCUCAAAAGAAUCACAGUAAGCUACUGAUGAAUCUUCCAUCAGUUGAAGCCGUAAGUGCAUUUAAUUAUUGUUGUUUAUCCCUGUCGAAGACUCACGGAACACAAAUUGCUUGGAGUAGCACCACUUGAAUCCACAUCAAUCAGGACUUAACAAAUUUCAUUCGGUAAAUUGUGGCCCAACUAACUGGCCAUGGGGGGCGCAUCUGUGCUUAUGGAGUUCGAAGAAUAUUACACACAUCCAGUCCAGAUUGAUGCAAAUGAUUAACCUUGGAGCUAAACCUUCAUCCUAGCAUUGGUCCAAUCUCAAAGCCUCUACACAGAGAGACCUCCUCGGGAAAUGGUUGACACUAGAGGAAUGGUAGAGACUCAGCCCGUAAAGGCUGAGCCUUCCAAAAAUUGGAAUUCUUGCUUCGGUCGAUGUGGACUGAGAUUCACCAAUAGAAAAGCCUCUUCUCAUUCACUGACCGGGCCUCUGGGAAUUCAUGUCCUGGUCCAGACGUGCAAAUUGCAAUAUCGUUGAACGGCCCAAGUUCCUUUGCUUGGGAAAUCAUAGGACAUUAACUCUUGUCCCAGGCUGUAACUUAGCUGCUGCUGCUGCUUCUUCUUCUUUCCUCGCAAAUUCGUAAGAAUAAUGUUUAUGGGGCAAAUAAAGGAGUGAGAGAGGCAAAACUCACCGAAAAGUUCCUAGACAAAAAAUCAGUUGAUAGAAAUAUUAAAACUUGCUUGGUUUACCGUAUUUAUACAUAUGUACGUAUGUAUGUAGAUGUAAGUGUUUACGGAUAAUUUCAAUAGGAAAGAAACAAGUCAAUAGCAAAUUAAUAGCGAUUGGAUAAUUUAAUGGACUACCAUCUCUUAUCAUACAAAAUAAUCUUAACAAUUAUAUGACAAACUCCUUAAUUAUGCGCUUGGACAUGGCUUCAUUUUAGUCUUAACGUCUCGGAAGUCCUAUAUAUAUAUGUAGCGCUAUUGAUUUAUUAUGCAUAUAGAAAAAAAUUAUCGGUGAAAUCAUAUUGUCCAAAGUAAUUAUAUAUAUAGAAAGACAAAAUAUAUCCCAAAAUUUGUUGUUGGUUGGAAAUGUCGCUACUGAAUUGAAGACAUUCGAAUAUGAAUAUCGAAUAUGUAAUGGAUGGAAUAUAAUUAUCAACUUAAGUAAUUGUUCAUGCUACAAUUUUAGUUAUCUUUAAAAGAAAGGAAAAGAUUUAAGAUCUUUAAAAAAGGACUGACAUCCUCUUUUACUCAUUAGUUCACUUGCGCAAGAAAACGCGUACGCCAUAAAUGUUGGGGAAUAAGAUGAAGACAUCCGAGACAGUGCGACCCUGACGAGUGACGACCACUCCUGGUUUUGCAUCGCUAUAAGUGAGCUCUGGUCUCGGACGGUACCACCACCGACGCGACCUCCCGUCCCUAAAAGCUAGUGACAUUAAUUGAACGCGAUUUCUAGUAACUUGAAGAUGGAGACGGGAUUCAAAUGUCUCGAAAGCUUGGGAUUUGUUUUUGACCUUGGACUGGCGUGUUGGCUGAAUUCACUUUCACGUCGAGGAAGCCCAAUGAAUUAUAAAUCCAAAACGAUUUCAGCCCAUAUAAUAAGUCAUAUGAGAAAAUAAAAUUUUUCACUAUUUUUUUAUGUGAUAGUUGCAAAGAAUAUCAGUUGAGAAGUAGCAACAAAAGAAAACGCGUACGCCUCAGUUUACUAAAUUUCAUUUCUUUUUUGUCUAGCUCCAUUUAUGAUAAUGCGAGUUAGGUAAGUUGGCAACUUCAACUUGUGUUUAAUUUAGAGAGUGGAAGGUGAUAAAUUAUUGAAUCCUCCUCACUUCAGAUCUUAGUUCGAGAAUGAGAAGUAAAAUCAUAUACCUUAUUGGAUAAGUUAUUUCGAGGGUCAAGAUGUUUGGGGAACUCAUAGGGUUGGUCAUAUUUGAAAGUGCUAGUAUGAACACCUAAAGGGAGGGGGGGUGAAUAGGUGUGGAGACAAUUUUUUGCAAGGAAUAAUAGAAAUAUUUUGUUUCUAAAACUGAGUCUGAAGAAUAACAGACUUUUGAAACUGUGAAGUACAACAGACUUGGAGCGAGUUCAGAUUUUAGCAGUUAAAUAUAACCACGAACAAGAUAAAUGAGUUUAGGGAAGAAAAUAAGAAUACAAGGUUUAUAGUGGUUCGGCUUAGAUCAAGUCUAUGUCCACUCUCUCACGCUAACAGCCUUCUGGCUGAAUUCCACUAUACAAUCAACAAAAGAUUAUAACUUUGAGUGCAAACACUUAAUGCUAAAUCACAAUAUCUCACUAAGUCACUCUUUUGGUAUUUCUCUCACGAUUACAAAUGUUUAAACUCACAAGAGACAAGUGUAUUAUUGAAGGUCGCUCAGACUUAGGAAUUAUAAAUUCUAUGCUUCAUCUCUUACUUACUUAUUGGUCCCUGGCCUCCUUAAAUACUCCUCCACUUCCAAACUAGCCGUUGGACAAUUUCUCGACGAUUGUCUUCCAAUCUACCCAUUGGACAUAUCUGUAUCUAGAAGAUUUGAUAGACGUUAAGUGAUAGAAGUAGAAUCCCAAAUUGAUUCUAAUCAACCAUACAAAUAAAAUCUCGGUUUCCAUAAGUAAAGUUUCUUCGUAUAGAAAGUUCUCAUCUUUAAUAUCCAAUUAUCAAUAAAUUAGAUUGAGUUAAUCAAAUCAAUCUUGAUGUAGAAUCCAAACCAGAUUACUAGCCGUUAUAUGUUUGGGGCUUCUGUUACGAUCUGUCUCGUUAUGGAUAUAAAGUUUGAGAGUCUUUAGACCGAAGUAAAGUCUGAGCCUCUUCUGUCUGAAAUAGACUUUACAAUCUGGACGUAAGUCUGAACAUAAUUUGCUUCUGAACAAAUCUAACUUUAAGAUCUGGACACAGUUUGAAUAAAUUUAGCUUCAAUAUAGAGUCUGUCUUCUGGUUCUUCAUUCACGUUUAGUUUGAAAUUUGUUAGAGUAGGCAGAUUCUGAUGUAGAACAAACUUUGACACUAAAGUCUGGCAGUUUUUAGACUUUGACACAGAAAUCUGAAAAUCUUUAUAAUAGACUUUGGACAUGUAUUACGUUUAAUAGACUUUGGACAUGUAUUACGUUUAGUCUUCUAGCAGUUUUCAGACUUUUAUCAUCUGCAUAGUAUAUUACUUAACCAUUAAACACGUUAGUAGCCUUUUAUUUAUUUUGUCAUCUUCAAAACAUCAUAAGGAAUUUCCCUAACAAUCUCCAAUUUUUUUGAUGAUGACAAAACAAUCUUUGAAUAUGCAGAUGUGUAAUCAUAUUUUCUAAAAUAAUGAUAAAUCAACCAUCAAAUUUUAGAUUUUCAAAAAAUAUGAUUUGAAUCAAAAGACAGCAAAUAGAUUGAGCAUAACAAUAUAUAGAAAAAUAAUCGCAGCUCAAUAUUAUAAUAUUAACCAAUCAACACAUCUGCAUAUUUAUAUUCUCUCUCCCUUUUUGUCAUGAUCAAAAAGCAAUGACAAUAGAUAUAUUAUCACGUAGAGAAUAUAAAAUGAUAACCUUAAAAAAAAAAAAAAAUCAGCUUUCACAGAGUAAGUCGAAUAUUAAAGAUAUGCAAUAUAGCUCACUUCGAUCAUAUAUAUCAACAAAUAUCUAAUAAAAAUCACGAAGAGCGGAUCAUAAUUAACCGAAUUAAUUAGUUCGAUUGAUUAUGCAGCGUGACAUCCUCAUCGAAGCAGCAAAUUAAUUAAGACUCCAAACGUGAAAUUAGUAACUGAUAUAGAUUAUCAAAUAUGCAGCCUUUGGGAAGUUUUUUAGCAGGGGCAUCUGGGAGACGGUCCAAGGAGAAUGAAAAUGCAGACACAGCAAACAUGGUCGAGGACUUGUUCGUCCAACUUUAGAUGUCGCAAGUUUGCCUAUCACUGAGGUCUCCUCAGGACCGAGUUCUCUGCUAUGAAUAGUUGCGGAAUGCGAAAUAUACGUUCCUGCUGUAUCCGAUACAGAUGUCACAUUACUUUCAACUUUAGAAGUCACGUUACUUUCAACUUCCCCAAAACCACUCUUGUAUCCGGUAGAGACGUGAGUUUAUGAUGUUGAGACAGAGAUAGGACUUUAAACAUUCUCAUCUUCUUCAAGUACUUUAACAAUUUUUAGAAGUCAUCGGCAUGAGCACGAUAACAAGAAUGCGAAAUAUAGUUGUGUAUGAUUGUAUAAAUUGAAGGCAAAUUAACAAUAGUACUAUCGGUUCUACAAGAUUUUAGUAAUAUAAUCCUUGGGGCUAUUUAUUGGUACAGCACUUACGAUAUAUUGGCCUUGAAAUGAAUUUCACCGUAGAUUCCUCUCUUGCAAGGAUUUUGAUUCAAUUUACUGAUUUUAGGGCACAACAGCUCAUUUUGACAAAUACUAAAGCUGAUUCCUAGACAGAGCCAAUUUGUCAAAUUUAGAAUCCUUCCUACGCUAAUAAUGUGAAAGCUAUAGACCACACUCUCUGCAUAAUUUCCACUGAUGGAACCUUCUGUUGGUCCUCAGACAUCAAUAUUUUGACUUGACUUUAUGUUAAUUGGUUGACUUUUACAUUUCAAUGACAGAUGACCCCCAACAGAUCUUCUCGAUCAGGUAACCCAUCCCUCCAUUGAGCCGCCACCAAUGUCCAUCAAACGAAGGAACCUCCUCGGAAAUACUCAGCGUUUCCCACCCAACUGCUAGAAUUCAAGCCGCCCCACAAUAGAAACAGCCAGUUAUAGUCGCUUUCAACGCAGCCUUGUUGGACUGGCAACUCCCCAAAGACCGCUGGCUAAUGAGAAGUCAAGAUUUAACCAUACAGAGAAAGACUUAAGAGUUUGCUAACUCCACCAUGUCAAAAUCGUUGUUGCAAAAGAGAGAGCGACGGUGGAAACUUAGAUAUGUUUCCUCAUAUUUUGCUUCUUUUCUCUGUUUCAUUAGGCUCCUCUUUGUCCAUAAGCACAGACACCAUCUUGCCCGGCGAGUCUCUCUCCAGAAACCAGACAUUAAUCUCUCAAGGAGGAACAUUUGAGAUGGGCUUCUUUUCACCAGGUAACACUGGUAACUACUAUGUUGGCAUUUGGUACAAAGGAUUACCUCAAAAGACUCUAGUUUGGGUCGCAAAUAGGAACCAUCCAGUGUCCGACCCAUUCUCCUCAGAGUUGGAGCUCCUCUGGGACGGUAAUUUAGUCAUACGCGCUUCAUCCAAGCGUCAAAUCUGGUCGACCCGUUUGACAUUGCUCAUGCCUAAUUCGACUUCAGGAGUGCUCCUUGACAAUGGAAACUUCAUUUUAAGGAAGACAUCCGAUGUGUCUAGUGUAGCUUGGCAGAGUUUUGAUCAUCCCACUGAUACGUGGUUGCCAGGUGCCAAGUUUAAAUUCAAUACUUCCGAAAAGACAGUUCUGGUGGCGUGGAGAAAUUUAAACGAUCCAACUUCCGGAAUAUUCUCGACAUCCAUGGGAGCAAAAGGAGCUCUUUCGCUAUUUAACAGGUCGGAAGCCUACUGGAUUGGACGCGACUGGACUGGGGACGAUUACAGGCGUCGGUCUUCACUGGCAGCAGAAAACGUGAUAAACUACACCAUUGUUUCGAAUGAGAAUGAGACUUUCUCCAAAUAUUCCGCAAUUGCUCCUUAUAAUCUUUCUAGGAUUGUGCUUGAACCGACGGGGCUGCUCAAGCAGUUAGUAUGGGCAAAGAAUAUCCAGGAAUGGAAAGUGCUUUGGGCAUACCCAGCACAAAUGUUUGAGAUUUACCCCUUUUGUGGUGCUGCUUCUAACUGCAAUCAGAGUGAUGCACCGCUUUGUGAUUGUGCUCUUGGAUCCUCAGAUGAUCUGAAGCCGGAAGAUCAUCUGGGCCAAUGCAAUAGGAGAAACGCGUUGAAAUGUAGUGGAGAUAGGAAAGAUAUUUUUUUCCUCAUGCCUCGUACACAAUUCCCAAAUAAUUAUGAUUCGUUCAUGGUGGAAAACAUUGAUGCAUGCAGGUUAUUGUGCUUGAGCAACUGUUCGUGCAGUGCAUUCGCUUACACUGCUAACUGUCGGAUAUGGACGGAUGAGAGAUUUUUAGUUCAACGUUCAGCCAAUGAUGGAGUUUUUAAAGAUUUCUAUGUCCGGAUCGCGGUGUUGGAUUGGAAGGAGGAGAUUAAGAAAAAGGGGAAACCCAGUUUGAAAUUCAUAGCAGCAGUUGUUGUGUCCUUAGCUUUUCUCGUGCUCCUUAGUGUGUCGCUGGUUACUAUUAGGACAAGACGGUCUGCUACUGCAGUGGACGAUCAUUUGCUGCAUUUUGAAUAUCGAGUUCUGAAGAAGGCAACAAAAAACUUCUCUGAGAAAAUUGGGCAAGGCGGGUUUAGUUCUGUUUUCCGGGGAGCACUGCCAGACUCAACUCCUAUAGCAGUGAAGAAACUUGCAAACCAAAACACGAGUAACAAACAGUUCCUUGCGGAAGUUAGAACUAUUGGAACGAUACAGCACGUCAAUGUGGUUCGACUUCGUGGUUUUUGUGCAGACAAGUCGAAGAGGUUCCUAGUUUAUGACUACCUUAAAAAUGGUUCGCUUGCAGCUCAUUUGUUUCAGAAAGGUUCCAACGCCCUUGAUUGGAAAACCAGAUACGGCAUUGCCAUCGGGAUUGCUAAAGGAUUGGGGUACCUCCACGAGAGGUGUCGAGAUCGCAUUAUACACUGCGACAUCAAGCCUGAGAAUAUACUGUUGAAUUCAGAACUCGCGCCACAGAUUGCUGAUUUUGGCCUCGCAAAGCUCCUGGGACGGGAUGUCAGCUGCGUAAUUACCACCAUGAGGGGAACCAGAGGGUACCUCGCGCCAGAAUGGAUUUCAGGAGGAGUCAUCACGUCAAAAGUCGAUGUUUUCAGCUAUGGAAAGCUGCUCUUUGAGAUCAUAUCAGGAAAGAGAAACAUUGAGGAGCUGAAUAGUGAUAUGCGCGAUUAUCUACCGCUUCAGGUAGCUAAGUCAAUAGCCAAAGGAGAAGUAGUCUUGCCACUUGUGGACCGCCGAUUGGAAGGACUCGUGGAGAUGGAAGAAUUGUGCAGAGCAUGCAAAGUGGCUUGUUGGUGCAUUCAAGACACCGAGAAAGAUAGACCGACCAUGUCUCAGGUAGUUCAUAUUUUGGAGGGGGUUAUGGCAGUAGAAAAGCCUCCAAUCCCAAGAAUUUUGUUGCAACUGGUAGGAAGUGAUGAGAUUGAGGCAUAAAACGUAGCACUAUGCCCUUUCUUCGAUAAUUUAUGGGCAUGGUGUAGCCCCAAUCCAUCCUCCUUUGAGUUUCUACAGUUACAAGCUGUGUACCUCCAUGGCCAAUAAAUUACGGUAACCAUUGUGGCCACUCGAAAUAUAAAGACAAAACAGUUAAUGUCGCUGAUGGACUCACUGGUCUAGGAUUUGUAUCAUGCUUUCCAGAAUUGCAGCUCCAAACCAUUUAAUACCCAUAUUUCUCCAUCCUCUUGCAGCAGAAGAUCCAGUGAAGGAGUUGGUCAUCUAUUCAGCUUAUGUGUAUGCUCCAAAUGAAAUUAGAUGAACUGUUUAAACAAAACAAUGCAAAAUCUUUGCCCUCUUGUUUAAACAUUAUUUAUAUGAGCCAUCCCUCCCAUUAGAAACGGUUGACACUUGAAAGUUGGUAGAGGCUCCGGUCAUAGAGGCAAGAGUCAUCCAAAAAGAGGUAUUCUUUAAUAAAAGGCGAAAAAAUAGUUCACUCUGUGCUCACUCUAUGCACACCACGUAGCUGCGUUAUCAAACGACUAUUAAAUAACCAAGUCCAUAAGAUUAUCUCCAUUUCUUGCUUCAACCGUCGUGGGACUCAAAACUCACCUUUGUGGAAAACCACUUCUUAUUCGUAGGUUGGCUACAUUGUACUGCAAAGGCUUUGGCCUCUGUUCCUGGUCCAGAUGCUUGUGUGAGUCUGCUAGAGACACGCAGCCAUUUGGGCUGCCCUGGUACCAAGGAUCGCUGUCCAUGUUUGAAACAUUUAGAGCACAAAACUUUCAGCGUCAUAUUCUCUUUAUAAUAUUCCAUUUUAAUACAUGUAACUAGAUACAAAAAAAAAUUCAACUAUAGAAUCGCAAGAUACUCAACUACAGCACCUUGACUUAAUUAACUGCUCUAACUAAUUGAAUGCAUCGUAAUAUAGCCAGAUUCAAGUAAUUUACCGAUGAAAUUUGAUUAGCCUAUGAGCAGCCUGACCUGAAAAAUUUCAAAUGGUUGCUAGUAAAAGAACCGACCGUAAAGUAUUCGGUGAAUACAAGAAAGUCUCACUAGCCGACAUGGAAUAGUUUCAUUUUACAUGCGAGAAGCACUCUUUAUUUGCCCUCCAGCGUCGCACUUAAAUACUGUAACUAUCAUCCGCUCAUUCUAAGCCCUCCUCCCAAAGACGGUACAGAUGAGUACUACCGUGAAGUCUGCGAGACAGAGAGACGUCCUGACUUGUGGAUCUACUAUUGUGCUCCUUGUGAAUAUGAAGAUCACGUUAGUUGCAUAUGUCCUGACGUCCCGCCUUGUCUUCCUGAAGCAUUGUCUCCUGGGAAUGUGGAGUUCUUGAAGGACGUCCCUUUGUCCUGCGAAGGUCUCGUCUUUGAUCACAUAUUUCUUUACAUGGUUUGCUUGGAGGAUAAGUGGCAGAAACUCGACCCUCAGCUGAAGGAAAUUUCAGAUUCCAAACUAGCUUGGUUACCGGAAGACGGCGACAUCUAGUCCGCCACCAAAUUCAAGUGAAACUUACCUAAAGAAGGUUACAAUGAGCACGAGGCCAACAUCUUACCAUCAGAUCUUCCAGUUUUUUAUUUUCAUCUGUUAAGUUUUUCAUCCUGCUUCAUCUCUUAGAUCUCUAUGUUUGCGAAAAUAAUGUUAUGAAUGUGCCAUCUCACUCUUGUCCUUUCCUCGGCAUGAUAUCAACUCAUCUUAUAGGUCAUUUGGUUUUAUGAAUUUUCCGUCGAAUCAUCUUGAAGAAUUAACAUCUCGAUGCAGACUUUUCACCAAAUUACUUGAAUAUUUAGCAAAGUAUUCAUCUUUACACCAAAGUGAACAAAAAGAAUCGCAUGGUGUUGCUACCUGUAGCAUUCAUCCGUCGGAUAUUUGUAUGCACAAAGCAGUAUGUGUUAUUCGUCACUGUCAAACCCAUAUCUUCCAUACUUUGGAUCCCAUUGUGAUGGUCAUGACAAUAUACUUCCCAUAAAUCUUGUCAGGCAAAGCUUGAGAACCAUGUCACACAUCAAAUCUAUGUACUUAUGUUUGUAUAUCAUGGAGUCACAAUCUUAAAAUCUUUUGAGGAAACCGUCGAUUGUCAAACACUGACGAAAUUUGGUUCUCUCUAUAGAAGGCAAGUUAAGACCCUGUCCCAACGAACGGAUGGAUCACUCUGACGAUGUUGUCUGAUGUGAAGUGUAUGGAUUGUGCUCAAAUGGUGAAAGAAAUUGGGUGAACUCGUCUUUCACAACGGAGUUAAAAGAGGCUCAUUGCAUCCAUUAUUGCUUAUUUGAUAAGAGUACCUCAAAAGAAUCACAGUAAGCUACUGAUGAAUCUUCCAUCAGUUGAAGCCAUAAGUGCAUUUAAUUAUUGUUGUUUAUCCCUGUCGAAGACUCAUGGAACACAAAUUGCUUGGAGUAGCACCACUUGAAUCCACAUCAAUCAGGACUUAACAAAUUUCAUUUGUGGCCCAAUUAACUGGCCAUGGGGGGCGCAUCUGUGCUUAUGGAGUUCGAAGCAUAUUACACACAUCCAGUCCAGGUUGAUGCAAAUGAUUAACCUUGGAGCUAAACCUUCAUCCUAGCAUUGGUCCAAUCUCAAAGCCUCUACACAGAGAGACCUCCUCGGGAAAUGGUUGACACUAGAGGAAUGGUAGAGACUCAGCCUGUAAAGGCUGAGCCUUCCAAAAAUUGGAAUUCUUGCUUCGGUCGAGGUGGGACUGAGAUUCACCAAUAGAAAAGCCUCUUCUCAUUCACUGACCGGGCCUCUGGGAAUUCUUGUCCUGGUCCAGACAUGUGCAAAUUGCAAUAUCGUUGAACGGCCCAAGUUCCUUUGCUUGGGAAAUCAUAGGACAUUAAAUCUUGUCCCAGGCUGUAACUUAGCUGCUGCUGCUGCUGCUGCUUCUUCUUCUUUCCUCGCAAAUUCGUAAGAAUAAUGUUUAUGGGGCAAAUAAAGGAGUGAGAGAGGCAAAACUCACCAAAAAGUUCCUAGACAAAAAAUCAGUUGAUAGAAAUAUUAAAACUUGUGUGGUUUACCGUAUUUAUACAUAUGUACGUACGCAUGUAGAUGUAUGUAUGUACGGCUAAUUUCAAUGGGAAAGAAACAAGUCAAUAGCAAAUUAAUAGCGAUCGGAUAAUCUAAUGGACUACCAUCUCUUAUCAUACAAAAUAAUCUUAACAAGUAUAUGACAAACUCCUUAAUUAUGGGCGUGGACAUGGUUUCAUUUUAGUCUUAACGUCUCGUAAGUCCUAUAUAUAUGUGGCGCUAUUGAUUUAUUAUGCAUAUAGAAAAAAAUCAUAGGUGAAAUCAUAUUGUCCAAAAUAAUUAUAUAUAUAAAAAGACAAAUAUAUCCCAAAAUUUGUUGUUUGUUGGAAACGUCGCUCCCAAAUUGAAGACAUUCGAAUAUGAAUAUUGAAUAUGUAACGGAUGGAAUAUAAUUAUCAACUUAAGUAAUUGUUUAUGGUACAAAUUUAGUUAUCUUUAAAAGAAAGGAAAAGAUUUAAGAUCUUUAAAAAAAGGACUGACAUCCACUAUUACUCAUUAGUUCCCUUGCGCAAGAAAACGCGUACGCCAUGAAUGUUGGGGGAUAAAGAUGAAGACAUGCGAGACGGUGCGACCCUGACGACUCCUGGUUUUGCAUCGCUGUAAGCGAGCUCUGGUCUCGGACGGACGGUACCACCACCGACGCGACCUCCCGUCCUUAAAACCUAGUGACAAUAAUUGAACGCGAUUUCUAGUAACUUGAAGAUGGAGACGGGAUCCAAAAGUCUCGAAAGCUUGGUAUUUGUUUUUGACCUUGGACUGGUGUGUUGGCUAAGUUCACUUCCAUGUGAAAGAAGCCCAAUAAAUUACAAGCCCAAAAUGAUUUGAGCCCAUAUAAUAAGUCAUAUGAGAAAAUAAAAAAAAUAUCACUAUUUUUUUAUGUGGUAGUUGCAAAGAAUGUCAGUUGAGAAGCAGCAACAAGAGUGAGAGAGCAGAAAAUCUGGAAUUUAGGAAAGUCUUAUUUACGUCAUGCUAGCAUCGAAGGCCGAUCCGUGAUUCGAUUGAGCUAAAAUUUUGUCACUUUGUUUGUGGCGCACUCUUCUCAAAUCUGAAUUCAUUGAUUUUUGUUUGAAGCUCCCUACAUGAGGUUUUUCCAUAGGUUGAUCAAAACUUGCAUUUUUUGUCAGAUUUGUCUUUGAUUUAUCGUGAAAUUUAUUCUUGAGAUCUUUGCUAUUACAUAUCGCUAGUAUUUACUAGAGAAGAACUUUGUUCACUUGAUUUUGUUGAUAGUGAAUAUUUUGAGUGGAUUCCGAUCCCGUGGUUUUUUUAUUUUCUCACACCGAGGAGAUUUUCCACGUAAAAAACUCCCUUGUGUUUACAUACUUGGUAUUUAGUUUGCUAUAUUAUAUCGGUUCUUAUUAGAUUUACACAAAAUGGGAGAUUAUUUUGUUUUAUUGCAUUAAUCUGAUGCUGUUCAAGUUAUUAUUGUUCUCCUAUCUUGGCGAUGGCAGUGGCACAUAUGAGAUUGCUAGAGCCUUCCUAGCUUACAGAGCCUCAAUUUACUAAAUUUCAUUUCUUUUUUGUCUAGCUCCAUUUAUGAUUAUGCGAGUUAGGUAAGUUGGCAACUUCAACUUGUGUUUAAUUUAGAGAGUGGAAGGUGAUAAAUUAUUGAAUCCUCCUCACUUUAGAUCUUAGUUUGAGAUUGAGAAGUAAAAUCGUAUACCCUAUCGGAUAAGUUAUUUCGAAGGUCAAGAUGUUUGGGGAACUCGUAGAGUUGGUCAUAUCUUCAUAAGAGGAAGAUCUUUUAUACCGCACGGUGCUUCUCUUUGUAUCUCGGUAGGCUUCAAUCUUUAGUUAGAAUUUCAUCUUUACGAGUCAACAGUUAAGAUCUAAAGAGGUACCUAGAAGAGCACCUACAGGGUAGAGGAUCUGCCAUCGUCCACGCCCAAUUAAGGGCGUCGGUUUUGCUAUUGCCUAUACAAGGUAUGUUUGAUGGAGAAGCGAGGGUUUUUAUUUUUUAAGGUAAAUUAAAUACUAAGUGAGAGUUUUGCGCCUUGCACCUUUAAUUUAAGGCAACGAGAUUUGGACCAUUCAUAUCAAUGAAAUAUUAAAAUCGUGAGAGCUGAAUACCCAAAGCGGACAGUGUUAUACAAUGGUAACCCUUGGGUCCUUAUAGGUAAUAUCAGAGCUAACUCUCGACAGCAUGUGGGGCUGAUGGCAUUGUGCCUUAAGGGGUGGAGAAUGUGACGACUCAGACCCGAGAAGUAUGCGGGCGAGGCUAAGAGCAUGUCUCCUGUCCCACAUUGCCUAAGGGAGAGUUUUAGGCUAGUUGAUAAGACUUACGUUCUCUAUUUUGUGUAAGUGUUUUAAAGCUGUGAGGGCUAAAGGCCCACAACGAACAAUAUUACAUAGUGGUAGCCCCUAGAUCCUUACAACCACUAUAUAUUGUCCACUUUGGUCCUUAGAUGUGCUGCAUGUGCAAAGGCACUGUGAUGCACGUUCGUGCUGUUUCUUAAACACAUGUUUUAGAGCUGCAAGAGCAUAUGGCUGGAAUCCAGCAAAAGAAUGUCGUUUGUCUCUUUGAGCCUUCUUCUUCCUCCAUUUGUUGCAUACUCUAAGAGCGGAUCAUAAUUAACCGAAUUAAUUAAUUUCAUUGAUUAUGCAGCGAGACAUCCUCAUCGAAGCACCAAAUUAAUUAAGACUCCAAAUGUGAAAUUAGUAAGUCAUAUAGAUGAUCAAAUAUGCAGCCUUUGGGAAGUAUUUUAGCAGAGGCAUCUGGAAGACGGUCCAAGGAGAAUGAAAAUGCAGACACAGCAAACACGGUCGAGGACUUGUUCGUCCAACUUUAGAUGUCGCAAGUUUGCCUAUCACUGAGGUCUCCUCAGGACCGAGUUCUCUGCUAUGAAUAGUUGCGGAAUGCGAAAUAGACGUUCCUGUUGUAUCCGAUACAGAUGUCACAUUACUUUCAACUUUAGAAGUCACGUUACUUUCAACUUCCCCAAAACCACUCUUGUAUCCGAGAGAGACGUGAGUUUAUGAUGUUGAGACAGAGAUCAUCUUCUUCAAGUGCUUUAACAAUUUCUAGAAGUCAUCGGCAUGAGCACAAUAACAAGAAUGCGGAAUAUAGUUUUGUAUGAUUGUAUAAAUCGAAGGCAAAUUAACAAUAGUACUAUCGGUUCUACAAGAUUUUAGUAAUAUAAUCCUUGGGGCUAUUUAUUGGUACAGCACUGAUGAUAUAUUGGCCUUGAAAUGAAUUUCACCAUAGAUUCCUCUGUUGCAAGGAUUUUGAUUCAAUUUACUGAUUUUAGGGCACAACAGCUCAUUUUCACAAAUACUAAAGCUGAUUCCUAGACAGAGCCAAUUUAUCAAAUUUAGAAUCCUUCCUACGCUAAUAAUGUGAAAGCUAUAAACCACACUUUCUGCCUAAUUUCCACUGAUGGAACCUUCGGUUGGUCCUCAGAAUUCAAGAUUUUGACUCGACUUCGUGUUAAAUUGGUUGACUUUUACAUUUCAAUGACAGAUGACCCCCCAACUGAUCUUCUCGAUCAGGUAACCCAUCCCUCUAUUGAGCCGCCACCAAUGCCCAUCAAACGAAGGAACCUCCUCUGAAAUACUCCGCGUUUCCCACUCAACUGCUCCCACAAGAGAAACAGCCAGUUCUUGUCGCUUUCAACGCAGCCUCGUUGGACUGGCAACUCCCCAAAGACCGCUGGCUAAUGAGAAAUCAAGAUUCAACCGUUCAGAGAAAGACUUAAGAGUUUGCUAACUCUACCAUAUCAAAAUCGUUGUUGCAAAAGAGAGAGCGACGGUGGAAACUUAGAUAUGUUUCCUCAUAUUUUGCUUCUUUUCUCUGUUUCAUUAGGCUCCUCUUUGUCCAUAAGCACAGACACCAUCUUGCCCGGCGAGUCUCUCUCCAGAAACCGGACAUUAAUCUCUCGAGGAGGAACAUUUGAGAUGGGCUUCUUUUCACCAGGUAACACUGGUAACUACUAUGUUGGCAUUUGGUACAAAGGAUUACCUCAAAAGACUCUAGUUUGGGUUGCAAAUAGGAACCGUCCAGUGUCUGACCCAUUCUCCUCGGAGUUGAAGCUCCUCUGGGACGGUAAUUUAGUCAUACUCGCUUCAUCCAAGCGUCAAAUCUGGUCGACUGGUUCGACAUCACUCAUGCCUAAUUCGACUUCAGGAGUGCUCCUUGACAAUGGAAACUUCAUUUUAAGGAAGACAUCGGAUGUGUCUAGUGUUGCUUGGCAGAGUUUCGAUCAUCCCACUGAUACGUGGUUGCCAGGUGCCAAGUUUGUAUAUUAUUCACGUACCUCUGAACGGACAGUUUUGGUGGCUUGGACAGAUUUCGAUGAUCCAGCUCCUGGGAUAUUCUCUGCAAUGCCGGCAGCAGAAGGAAAAUUUAUGUUAUCGCUAUUUAACAGGUCAGAAGUCUACUGG